AAAUUGAAGAGUUUGAUCAUGGCUCAGAUUGAACGCUGGCGGCAGGCCUAACACAUGCAAGUCGAACGGUAGCACAGAGAGCUUGCUCUCGGGUGACGAGUGGCGGACGGGUGAGUAAUGUCUGGGAAACUGCCCGAUGGAGGGGGAUAACUACUGGAAACGGUAGCUAAUACCGCAUAACGUCGCAAGACCAAAGUGGGGGACCUUCGGGCCUCACACCAUCGGAUGUGCCCAGAUGGGAUUAGCUAGUAGGUGGGGUAACGGCUCACCUAGGCGACGAUCCCUAGCUGGUCUGAGAGGAUGACCAGCCACACUGGAACUGAGACACGGUCCAGACUCCUACGGGAGGCAGCAGUGGGGAAUAUUGCACAAUGGGCGCAAGCCUGAUGCAGCCAUGCCGCGUGUAUGAAGAAGGCCUUCGGGUUGUAAAGUACUUUCAGCGAGGAGGAAGGCGU
rnacentral:rRNA from 1 species